CUGGAUUACGUCCUGUACAAGGUCGGCGUGGGGACGAGGUGCGGGGAGGGAAAACGCCACCCGGACGACGGGCCCGACACCUACUGCUCCUUCCCCUGGGCCGAGAUGGUGGUGGAGGAUCUCUGUGCAAACAGGAGGUCCUGCGAGGUCCCCGUCACCGAGCUGGUGUUCGGUGAAUAUCCCUGUAAGGAGCAGACCAGGUACCUGGAGGUGACCUACACCUGCGCCAAACCACCUCCUCCCCCUCCACCACCACCUCCUCCAACCAAGCCUGACUGUGAAGACAAACCGGCCGCUGAAGCCUGAUGCCUCUAAAAACUUUAUUGUUCAUCGCCGUGGACAGAACAGUCUGAAGACACGUCACCUCCACGUCAGUGCUGACGAUGAUAUUUAAAAAUGAAAUAUUGAUAAUGUGUUAAUGACAUCAUGACGGCAGAUGUUUGGCCUCGCGGGUCUGUUGUUUAUCACGUCAUCUUGUCGCCUUUUCACGAGCCACUCGGUGUAACUGUUGUCAUGGUUACAGACUCUCUCUCCACCCCCGACACUCGGAUCUGAGUCUGACCUCACCAUUCACCUGACGAGAAAGAGACAAAACACAAAGUUAAAGAUGAAUUCUUUCUCCAUAGAUAUUGUGAUUAUGUCGUCAGUUAAAAUCUGAUAUUGUGAGAUCUUAAAUAAUCUGCUGAUGUUUUAUAAUGUCUCUAUGUCUCUAUAAAACUUAUCUCAUUUAAAGUCAAUAAAAUAAAUACUCAGUGAAACAGAUCGUGUU